rnacentral:rRNA from 1 species
AUUGAACGCUGGCGGCAGGCCUAACACAUGCAAGUCGAGCGAGCGGCGGACGGGUGAGUAAUGUAUGGGGACUGCCCGAUAGAGGGGGAUAACUACUGGAAACGGUAGCUAAUACCGCAUACUAUCGGAUAACCCAUAUGGGAUUAGCUAGUAGGUGGGGUAAUGGCUCACCUAGGCGACGAUCCCUAGCUGGUCUGAGAGGAUGAUCAGCCACACUGGGAAUGAUAGACGACCCAAACUCCUACGGAGGCAGCAUGGGGGAAGUUUGCACAAUGGGCGCAAGCCUGAGGCAGCCAUGCCGGGGGUAGGAAGAAGGCCCUAGGGUUGUAAAGUACGUUCAGGCGGGAGGCGUUACCGACAGAAGAAGCACCGGCUAACUCCGUGCCAGCAGCCGCGGUAAUAC